CCAAGCACUUAUCGCACCCUG
rnacentral:miRNA from 1 species